GACGAACGCUGGCGGCGUGCCUAAUACAUGCAAGUAGAACGCACAGUUUAUACCGUAGCUUGCUACACCAUAGACUGUGAGUUGCGAACGGGUGAGUAACGCGUAGGUAACCUGCCUGGUAGCGGGGGAUAACUAUUGGAAACGAUAGCUAAUACCGCAUAAUAUUAAUUAUUGCAUGAUAAUUGAUUGAAAGAUGCAACUGCAUCACUACCAGAUGGACCUGCGUUGUAUUAGCUAGUAGGUGAGGUAACGGCUCACCUAGGCGACGAUACAUAGCCGACCUGAGAGGGUGAUCGGCCACACUGGGACUGAGACACGGCCCAGACGCCUACGGGAGGCAGCAGGAGGGAAUCUUCGGCAAGGGACGAAAGUCUGACCGAGAAACGCCGCGUGAGUGAAGAAGGUUUUCGGAUCGUAAAGCUCGGUUGUAAGAGAAGAACGGGUGUGAGAGUGGAAAGUUCACAAUGUGACGGUAUCUUACCAGAAAGAGACGGCUAACUACGUG
rnacentral:rRNA from 1 species